rnacentral:rRNA from 1 species
AUUGAACGCUGGCGGCAUGCGUAACACAUGCAAGUCAAACGGUUUCUGGUGCUUGCACCGGAGAUAGUGGCGGACGGGUGAGUAAUACGUAGGAAUCUGUCUUAGAGAGGGGGACAACCUGAGGAAACUUAGGCUAAAACCGCAUAAACUCGGAAGAGAAAAGCAGGGGACCGGAAACGGCCUUGUGCUCUAAGGUGAGCCUACGUCGGAUUAGCUAGUUGUGGGGUAAAGGCCUACCAAGGCGAUGAUCUGUAGCUGGUCUGAGAGGACGGACAGCCACACUGGGACUGAGACACGGCCCAGACUCCUACGGGAGGCAGCAGUGGGGAAUAUUGGACAAUGGGGGGAACCCUGAUCCAGCGAUGCCGCGUGUGUGAAGAAGGCCUGCGGGUAGUAAAGCACUUUCAGUUGGAAAGAGAAGCGAGAUGAGAAUAUUGUUUCGUGGAGACGUUACUAACAGAAGAAGCACCGGCUAACUCUGUGCCAGCCGCCGCAGUAA